AACAACAAAAAAUUACGUAUCAGAACAAAAAUAUAACAAGGCGAUGUAAUUGUAUGCUGGUUUCCGGCGGAAUUUACAACUGACUGAUUCGAUUAAUCAUCGCAAAAAUUGCAGUCAAUGCCAUGAGGAUGCAAAACUUCGAGCACCUAAAACUAUUUUUCUUCUAAGCCUGUUGAGGAAAAUAAGCUUUGUCGCUAGGACCGCAGGAGAGCAGAAUCGAAUCUGAGAGGUGAAAUUCUCAAACUCAGUAAAGAAUACGUAUUCAGCAGUUAUUGAUGGGGAAAAGACCUACGGUGUAUGAGAAUUGCUUUGAAUUACAAUGCUUUCUCUUGCCAUUUUUUUAACUGUAUUACUGGUUGCCGGAGUAACAUUGUUUCACCUUUACUGUGUUGGAAGUUUGUGCUGUGGUCUCCGGCAAAAACACAGAGCUCAAAUGAAUGCGUACAUGACAAAAUAAGGAAUUCUUAUCGUGCCGACAGUCAAACUGAGGAGGAGAAGAAAGACCAGGGUGGCAGUAAGUCAGCCUGGAUGCCAGCCAACAUCACUAACACGAACAAGUUAUCAUA